rnacentral:rRNA from 1 species
AGGACGAACGCUGGCGGCGUGCUUAACACAUGCAAGUCGAGCGACAGUGUUCUUCGGAACAUAUGGAGCGGCGAACGGGUGAGUAACACGUGGGCAACCUGCCCCUAGCUCUGGGACAACUCCGGGAAACCGGGCUAAUACCGGAUACGAUCUUCCAUGGCAUCUCGGAAGAUGGAAAGUUUUUCGGCUAGGGAUGGGCCCGCGGCCUAUCAGCUUGUUGGUGAGGUAACGGCCCACCAAGGCGACGACGGGUAGCCGGCCUGAGAGGGCGACCGGCCACACUGGGACUGAGACACGGCCCAGACUCCUACGGGAGGCAGCAGUGGGGAAUAUUGCGCAAUGGGCGAAAGCCUGACGCAGCGACGCCGCGUGAGGGAUGAAGGCCUUCGGGUUGUAAACCUCUUUCAGCAGGACGAAGCGAGAGUGACGGUACCUGCAGAAGAAGCACCGGCCAACUACGUGCCAGCAGCCGC